rnacentral:rRNA from 1 species
UACGUAGGGGGCGAGCGUUGUCCGGAUUUAUUGGGCGUAAAGAGCGUGUAGGCGGCCAGGUAGGUCUGCUGUGAAAACUCGAGGCUCAACCUCGAGACGUCGGCGGAAACCAUCUGGCUAGAGUCCGGAAGAGGAGAGUGGAAUUCCUGGUGUAGCGGUGAAAUGCGCAGAUAUCAGGAAGAACACCCGUGGCGAAGGCGGCUCUCGUGGGACGGUACUGACGCUGAGACGCGAAAGCGUGGGGAGCGAACAGG